rnacentral:rRNA from 1 species
CCUACGGGAGGCAGCAGUGGGGAAUAUUGCACAAUGGGGGAAACCCUGAUGCAGCGACGCCGCGUGAGUGAAGAAGUAAUUCGUUAUGUAAAGCUCUAUCAGCAGGGAAGAAAAUGACGGUACCUGAGUAAGAAGCACCGGCUAACUACGUGCCAGCAGCCGCGGUAAUACGUAGGGGGCAAGCGUUAUCCGGAUUUACUGGGUGGAAAGGGAGCGUAGACGGCAGUGCAAGUCUGGAGUGAAAGGCGGGGGCUCAACCCCCGGACUGCUCUGGAAACUGUACGGCUGGAGUGCAGGAGAGGUAAGUGGAAUUCCUAGUGUAGCGGUGAAAUGCGUAGAUAUUAGGAGGAACACCAGUGGCGAAGGCGGCUUACUGGACUGUAACUGACGUUGAGGCUCGAAAGCGUGGGGAGCAAACAGGAUUAGAUACCCUUGUAGUC